AUGCCACGGCAACCGCGCGUGCGCACCGGCGAGGCGAGAGCGCGAGCUCGCGGGCAGGUGAGGCGCAAGCGUGGGCGCGUGGUCGAGGCGGACCGUUUGGGGUCGGUCGGCGCGCUGGACGCCUUCACCUACAUCCGGACAUGCAUGUCCGUUUUAGCAUCCAUUGCUUCCCCAAACAGACGUCCGUUUGAGGUCGCGCGGUGGAGUUGGCCUAAAAGAUCAGCAGGCUGCACUGACGUCUGCACGAUAACACUGGAAGAGCUGGCACUACGUAUGGCAUGGAUGGUCGACGCGCUAGUCAAGUCAAUCUUCUCUCCGGAAGAGAUGGAAGAGAGAUGCUCUCUCAUCAGGAAGUCAAUGUUCUCCGGAUCGCUCACAGCCACGGGUGAUGGACCCGUACAAUCAUAUGCAGCGGCCAGGAAAAGGAAAGGCAUACAAAACCCGCCGCCGAUUGAGAACCACCACACCUUCAACACGCGCACGAGACCAUCCGGAGGGCCCUUGAUUUGA
rnacentral:rRNA from 1 species